rnacentral:sRNA from 1 species
GUUGCUGUAUUUGCAGCUGUAAUGUAUUUGCUACUGGUAGUACCGGUGCUAGUGCUGCCAGUGACUGCGGCUGCUGCUGCUGAUGAUUUUGCUGCUGCUGCUGCUUUUGCAGUUGCAGCUGUUGCAACUGUUGUUGUUGUUGCUGCUGAUGCUGCUGCUGCUGCUGUUGUGCGGCUGUGGCUGUGGCUGUGGCGGCUGCUGCUGCUGCUGCGGCGGCGGC